rnacentral:rRNA from 1 species
GGCCAGCCGCCGCGGUAAUACGGAGGGUGCAAGCGUUAAUCGGAAUUACUGGGCGUAAAGCGCGCGUAGGCGGUUAGUUAAGUCGGAUGUGAAAGCCCCGGGCUCAACCUGGGAACUGCAUUCGAUACUGGCCAACUAGAGUACGAGAGAGGGAGGUAGAAUUCCACGUGUAGCGGUGAAAUGCGUAGAUAUGUGGAGGAAUACCAGUGGCGAAGGCGGCCUCCUGGACUGAUAUUGACGCUGAGGUGCGAAAGCGUGGGGAGCAAACAGGAUUAGAUA